ensembl:lncRNA
AGAGAGACCUGUUCGAGACCAGCACUAAAAAGUAAAGUAGAGGAGGAGAGAAACAGGUUAAAGCAGUGUGCACACACCAACACACUCCAUCUACCUGACUCCCCCUCCACUGGAGCAAAGAGCACUGUCUCACACACACACACACACACACACACACACACACACACACACACUCCUGUCCCAAUAUUAAACUUUCAGACAGAAUGAUGCUUAACGCCGUGAAUCCGGAUCUCCUCCAGUACACAGAUCCGCUGUUUAUCUCUCUGUGCUGGAGAACAGAACAGAGCUACAGAACCGGCGUCUCUGCGCUACUCGGGACACAAGUGCGUAAAAACCCAGCGUGACCUUUAUCACCACGAGUCCAUCGAUCACUGUCAAUCGUCCCUACAGUGUAAACACAAAAACGGGCGUGGCUCAAAACCAGGAAGUAGUACUAGGCAACAAGGAAGAAGGAAACACGGGUAAAUAAGGCCCAGACGUGUGAUCAGACUUCACAGAGAGAUAUAAAUAGACAAACUAAUCACAGGAAAGGGGCGGAGACAAGACUCAAACCCGGAGCAAAACACGUUCAAACGAAAGACAGCAGCGCUCACUUGGAGGAGGCUUGGAACGACUGAUGAAAGUAUCACUAAUAUCCCACAGAAGAUGGAGGAAAAUGCAACGUCUGCAGCUUAAAAAACAAAAAUUAAAAAAUAAAUCGUCUUGCGUCUCGUCUUAAGUGUUUCCUUUUCACCUGCUGUCUGAACGACAAAACAUCUUUCCCUUAUCUUCCCCUGUCCGUCCUGCCGAACAGAUAAACGUCUCGACCGCGGGAUUAAGUUCAGGAAGUGAAACACCGUGUUGUUUUAUCACGGCUACUUCGCUCUACCAGAAUUCAGUAGGUAUCUAAUCUGCGGUUCAGCACAGAGCACGUGCACGCGUCGAUUAUAUCAGACUUCACGUUAAAACUGUGAUGAAUUUCCUGGUAACACAACUGCACUGUGUGGCCAUGUAGUAUUAGUACAUUUAUAGAAGGGGUGUAUUUAUUUAUAAUCGCACUGUCCGGGUUCCCUUUUGAGUCUGGUUCCUCUUGAGGUUUCUUCCUCAUGUCGUCUCAGGGAGUUUUUCCAUCGCCUCUGGUUUGCUCGUUAGGGAUAAAUUCACGAAUUUAAAAUCUAUAUCCUGAAUUUAUAUGCGUGUCGAGGUUCGUAGACUUCAGAGGAGGAGAGCUCCAAGGCUUCCACCACAGACCAGUACAGCCACAGCCCUUGAAGAUACGGAGCUCCAGAAGAUACGGAGCCCCGGAGCUAAUGAAGAUACCUCUGCUCCCUCGGUAGCUGUUUCUGAAGAAAGUCACUCAUUGGAGUCACCUGACCAUCACUGGAUGUUACAAGGGCUGGGACUGUACUGGUCUGCGGUGGAAGCCUUGGAGCUGUCCUCCUCUGAAGCUCCAGACCAGGACCUGCUUAGCAACGGCCUCCGCUUGCUCCUUCUCCAUUUUGGCGCUCUCUUACGGGUAGCACCGAAGCAGGCUUAUUUUACAGUUACAAUCCCGACUACGGCCGACUUCUGGAUAUUUUUUUCUGCUGUAAUGAUUUAACAUACACACACACGUUAUGUAUGCCUGGCCACGCCCCUUUUCCAUCUUCAAUGCUGCUGACAAUGUCAUGAAUCGGC